rnacentral:rRNA from 1 species
GAUUAACGCUGGCGGCGUGCAUAACACAUGCAAGUCGAACGAUGAAACUUAAAUGAUUUCUUCGGAAUGAACUUAAGUGGAUUAGUGGCGGACGGGUGAGUAACGCGUGAGUAACCUGCCUUACACAAGGGGAUAGCCGUUGGAAACGACGAAUAAUACCCUAUGAAACUAUCACUUCGCAUGAAGCGAUAGUCAAAGUGUUAGCGGUGUAAGAUGGACUUGCGUCUGAUUAGCUAGUUGGUGAGAAAAAAGCCCACCAAGGCAACGAUCAGUAGCCGGCUUGAGAGAGUGUACGGCCACAUUGGGACUGAGACACGGCCCAGACUCCUACGGGAGGCAGCAGUGGGGAAUUUUGCACAAUGGGGGAAACCCUGACGCAGCGACGCCGCGUGAUUUAGAAGGCCUUCGGGUUGUAAAAAUCUUUUGUAUAGGAAGAAAAUGACAGUACUAUACGAAUAAGGUCCGGCUAAUUACGUG